rnacentral:rRNA from 1 species
AGGCAACGAUCAGUAGGGGUUCUGAGAGGAAGGUCCCCCACAUUGGAACUGAGACACGGUCCAAACUCCUACGGGAGGCAGCAGUGAGGAAUAUUGGUCAAUGGACGAGAGUCUGAACCAGCCAAGUAGCGUGCAGGAAGACGGCCCUAUGGGUUGUAAACUGCUUUUAUAAGGGAAUAAAGUGAGAGUCGUGACUCUUUUUGCAUGUACCUUAUGAAUAAGGACCGGCUAAUUCCGUGCCAGCAGCCGCGGUAAUACGGAAGGUCCGGGCGUUAUCCGGAUUUAUUGGGUUUAAAGGGAGCGUAGGCCGGAGAUUAAGCGUGUCGUGAAAUGUAGACGCUCAACGUCUGCACUGCAGCGCGAACUGGUUUCCUUGAGUACGCACAAAGUGGGCGGAAUUCGUGGUGUAGCGGUGAAAUGCUUAGAUAUCACGAAGAACUCCGAUUGCGAAGGCAGCUCACUGGAGCGCAACUGACGCUGAAGCUCGAAAGUGCGGGUAUCGAACAGGAUUAGAUACCCUGGUAGUCCGCACGGUAAACGAUGGAUGCCCGCUGUUGGUCUGAAUAGGUCAGCGGCCAAGCGAAAGCAUUAAGCAUCCCACCUGGGGAGUACGCCGGCAACGGUGAAACUCAAAGGAAUUGACGGGGGCCCGCACAAGCGGAGGAACAUGUGGUUUAAUUCGAUAAUACGCGAGGAACCUUACCCGGGCUUGAAUUGCAGAGGAAGGAUUUGGAGACAAUGACGCCCUUCGGGGCCUCUGUGAAGGUGCUGCAUGGUUGUCGUCAGCUCGUGCCGUGAGGUGUCGGCUUAAGUGCCAUAACGAGCGCAACCCCUCUCCUUAGUUGCCAUCAGGUUAAGCUGGGCACUCUGGGGACACUGCCACCGUAAGGUGUGAGGAAGGUGGGGAUGACGUCAAAUCAGCACGGCCCUUACGUCCGGGGCUACACACGUGUUACAAUGGCAGGUACAGAGAGACGGUUGUACGUAAGUACGAUCAAAUCCUUAAAGCCUGUCUCAGUUCGGACUGGGGUCUGCAACCCGACCCCACGAAGCUGGAUUCGCUAGUAAUCGCGCAUCAGCCAUGGCGCGGUGAAUACGUUCCCGGGCCUUGUACACACCGCCCGUCAAGCCAUGAAAGCCGGGGGCGCCUAAAGUCCGUGACCGUAAGGAGCGGCCUGGGGCGAAACUGGUAAUUGGGGCUAAGUCGUAACAAGGUA